ACGGCUCAGUAACACGUGGCUAACCUGCCCUUGGGACGGGGACAACCCCGGGAAACUGGGGUUAAUCCCAGAUAGGUGAGAACUCCUGGAAUGGAUUUUCAUCGAAAAGGUGUUGAAGCAUGCUUUCAACGGCGUCCGAGGAUGGGACCGCGGCCGAUCAGGUUGUUGGUGAGGUAACGGCUCACCAAGCCUUUAACCGGUACGGGCCGUGAGAGCGGGAGCCCAGAGAUGGAAUCUGAGACAAAAUUCCAGGCCCUACGGGGCGCAGCAGUCGCGAAAACUCCGCAAUACACGAAAGCGUGACGGGGCCAACCCGAGUGCCGUCCGCUGAGGAUGGCUUUUCCCCAGUGUAAUGAGCUGGAGGCAAUAAAAGGAGGGCAAGGAUGGUGUCAGCCGCCGCGGUAAAACCAACUCCUUGAGUGGUGAGGAUUAUUAUUGGGCUUAAAGCGUUCGUAGCUGGCCUGACUAGUCCCGCGUUAAAUCCAACGACCUAAUCGUUGGGCUGCGGGGGACACGGUCAGGCUUGGGGGCGGGAGAGGUUAGCGGUAUUCCCGGGGUAGGGGUAAAAUCUUAUAAUCCCGGGAGGACCACCAGUGGCGAAGGCUGCUAACCAGAACGCGCCCGACGGUGAGGGACGAAAGCUGGGGGAGCGAACCGGAUUAGAUACCCGGGUAGUCCCAGCCGUAAACGAUGCAGGCUAGCUGUUGGGAUGGCCACGAGCCAUUUCAGUGGCGCAGGGAAGCCGUUAAGCCUGCCGCCUGGGAAGUAAGAUCGCAAGAUUGAAACUUAAAGGAAUUGGCGGGGGA
rnacentral:rRNA from 1 species